CUCCCCAGAAAAUAGCAUGCGCAUCUAAAGGAAAAGACUGUUGCAGUGAGGGCGGACUUAUAUACCGUACUAAAUAUUAUCAAGAAUCAGGCAAUAAACAGAUAAAUAAAGACAUAAGUUCAGAAACUAGUAACUACUAUAAUAAAAGCAAGGAUAACACUCAACACAAGCGAAGAAACAUGUACACCCUCCUUCAUAUUGGAAUAUAAAUGUUUAUCUGCCAAACAUUUCUGCUUCCGACAAAAUCAGGCCCCGGUUAUGACCCAUGUGGAAGGCAGCUUCUAAGAUGCUCCAGAGAUCCUGCUUCUCGGUGUUCAUGCCCUGUGUAACACUCCCCUUGACUACGGGCUGGACCUGGGGACUUUCUUCUAACGAACAGAAUAUGACAAAAGUGAUGGGCUGGCAAAAGAUUCAGGGCCCUGCCUUGCUCAUUUUUUCUUCCUCUCUUGCUUGUGUGCCCUGAGGGAAGCCAUGCUGUGAGCCACCUUAUGGAGAGGCCCGCAUA